GGAGUAGCCAAGCGGUAAGGCAACGGACUUUGACUCCGUCAUGCGCAGGUUCGAUCCCUGCCUC
rnacentral:tRNA from 1 species